CUAGUCUUAAAAAGGAAAUUCAAAACACAAUAGUGGAAAAACUUGCUGAGUUGAAGGUUCUGCUUGUUCCUAUUAACCCUGUUUCAGCUGAGUUAGGGGAGGAAGUUGUUGGUCCAAGUGUUUCCUCUCUUUCUGAUGGUAAAAGGGAACAGGCUGUACAUGAUACACCCCGAGGUGCUAGGAUUGAGAGUGAAGCUGUUCCAGCCACUUUUCCUCGCUUUGACCCUUUUUCCCCAGGGUCGUCUGGCUCCAGUUCAGAUGCAAGGAUCAAGGUCACAAUCGCUCGUCUCCAGCUGGAAGCACAGGAAAAGGAGAGGGAAGAGGCUCAGAAAAAGAAAGUGGCUUACCUUCUUGACGGUGGCUUGUUGAUGCGUCGCUGAUGCUGGUGAGGACUGGAGCGUGACCUUACAGGUUGUUGUCCCUACAGUCUACCACACACAGGUUGUUGGCAAACCAAACCAGGUGAUCCCCCUGCUCCCUUGCAUCCCAUUC